GACGAACGCUGGCGGCGUGCCUAAUACAUGCAAGUCGAGCGAAGCGGCGGAUGGGGGAGUAACGCGUGGGUAACCUGCACUUAAGUCUGGGAUACCAUAUGGAAACAGAUUCUCAUACCGGAUACAAAUGGAUGGACCUGCGAUGCAUUAGCUAGUUGGUAAGGUAACGGCUUACCAAGGCGAUGAUGCAUAGCCGGGUUGAGAGGCUGAUCGGCCACAUUGGAACUGAGACACGGCCCAGACUCCUACGGGAGGCAGCAGUAGGGAAUCUUCCACAAUGGACGAAAGCCUGAUGGAGCCACGCCGCGUGAGUGAAGAAGGUUUUCGGAUCGUAAAGCUCUGUUGUUGGUGAAGCGGUAAUCACCCAGAAAGUAACGGCUAACUACGUGCCAGCAGCCGCGGUAAUUC
rnacentral:rRNA from 1 species